rnacentral:rRNA from 1 species
AGUGAACGCUGGCGGUAGGCCUAACACAUGCAAGUCGAACGGCAGCACAGUAAGAGCUUGCUCUUACGGGUGGCGAGUGGCGGACGGGUGAGGAAUACAUCGGAAUCUACUUUUUCGUGGGGGAUAACGUAGGGAAACUUACGCUAAUACCGCAUACGACCUACGGGUGAAAGCAGGGGAUCUUCGGACCUUGCGCGAUUGAAUGAGCCGAUGUCGGAUUAGCUAGUUGGCGGGGUAAAGGCCCACCAAGGCGACGAUCCGUAGCUGGUCUGAGAGGAUGAUCAGCCACACUGGAACUGAGACACGGUCCAGACUCCUACGGGAGGCAGCAGUGGGGAAUAUUGGACAAUGGGCGCAGGCCUGAUCCAGCCAUACCGCGUGGGUGAAGAAGGCCUUCGGGUUGUAAAGCCCUUUUGUUGGGAAAGAAAGGCAGCAGGUUAAUACCCCGCUGUUCUGACGGUACCCAAAGAAUAAGCACCGGCUAACUUCGUG